AAAUCAACCUGCCUCUAGCAAUUUACCCUGAAAAUGAGUUGGCAACACUGCAUAUCAGACCACAUUUAUCCGACGUGAAUAACCUUUUAAUGGGCCUUUCAUGCCAAAAUGUGUUCCCCCCUGCGUCACAAUGGGAUUCGAUGAGUUCUAGCUUCUGUUGCUAGGAGUGUUGCUAGAAUUUGCAAAAGACACUGACCGGAUUAUGUCAUUAACCAAAGCGUCCGUUGCUAUGCUGGUUGGCUCUAUUUUUACUCGUAGCGGUCACGAAGGAAGGAGUACGCGGGCAGUUCUAGUUCACUUCAUAAACACUCGCUCAGUCCGCGCAAAAUUAAUACCUCAGAAUUGCUCUCCAAGGACGGUGUUUUUGACGGCGACAACCUGUCUACCUGCUGCUUCAGAGGACCGAAAAGACUGGAAAUAGAACACUUUCUUUACCAUAUAUUUGUCUUUAAAUAAGAAAAUAUUGUUAAAUAGGAAUAAAUAAUUUAAGCUGUUUUUAGAUUGACGUUGCUAGCUGCUGUACUUAUUUACCUCAGCCUGCCUAGUCAGCUAGCCAACUACAGUAACUGUUAUUGUAGCUUUCUGUAUGUAGCUUGCACUUCAAUGGCAUCCCUCGAGGACAGUUUAAUGUAUCUUUCCAACCAGGUUAAGUACUAUGACUGCAUCACUGAUCUCGACAAGAGGCGGACCAUUCAGAUAAAUUCAAAAUGCAGGGCAAUCAUAUGUACCUACGGGAGAAGGAUGGCCAGCCACACAGGAGGGUGAUUUUUACUAAGGAGGAGGAUGCAUGCAGGCCAUUUCGGAGUGAAGCGUAUGAUUGCCAAAAUCAACCAACGCUUCUUCCAACGGAGAAUUGUCAAGGAGGUCAUUACCCUAUCUAGCCUGCCAGAAGUUUGAGAGGGUGAAGACUGGCGCCGGAGUUGAAGCCCAUCAAAAUUGUUUCACCAUGGCACAUGAUCGAUUGUCAAUAGAUAUUGCUUUCCUACCCCCUCCAAGUUUGGUGAAUGGACCAACCAGACCCUCAAGACUGCCACGGGCAAGUCCCAUGAUUGGUACCAGGAAGGGUGGGCAAACAACCUGAAGGUAAUUCUCUACGGACAGGAGCCGCAGCUGUUGACUGAGAUCACUGAAACCCCAGCUGAUGUGGUGGAAGUUGUCAAAUCAGAUUAGAACGACUUCGAGGACCACCUUCAGGCACGGACUGAGAAGCAUGUGGAGGUUUUUGACCAGUCAAGGUGGACUGAACAUCAACAAGGUGCAGGAGAAACAGAAGGAGAGGUACCAGAACAGGAGCAAGUGCUACGACAUCCAAUCAAAUUACUUGGUUUGGAAGAAGAACGAAAGGAAGGAGAGACCUGGGAACCUCGCUGUUCUUUCACUCCUAGCUGGGGUCACCAUCUGUUAAAGUGAAUAUAAAAAAUCUCAGAUAAUAACUAUUUGCUUUGCACACAAAAUAACCUGAAGCUAGUUUUAGUUUCCCUAACACUGAUAUUUUUCUGGCUCUAUCAUACUGGGCACGUAAUAUGAGAUAGAAAGAUUAACUAAAAAUACUAGCACUGCAAACACUCAGAACAAAGUGAGCAGCAGUACCCAGACUUUGCCGUCUCCCUCUUCAAUUCCCCCUUCCAAGACUGGCUGCCUGUUGAGAAGUGACCGGCAGAACCUCCCACCCACACAGCAACCACCUCCUCUAUAUUCCACACUCCAGAAUUCAGUAUUUUAGUCUAUGAUUGCCAUGUGAAUGUACAAAAAAAAUCUGAAAAUAAAUUAAUGACACAACUGUACCAAAAAAAUAUAAAA